GAGUUUGAUCGUGGCUCAGAGUGAACGCUGGCGGCAGGCCUAACACAUGCAAGUCGAACGGCAGCGCAGCAGUAGCAAUACUGUGGGCGGCGAGUGGCGGACGGGUGAGGAAUACAUCGGAAUCUACCUUGUCGUGGGGGAUAACGUAGGGAAACUUACGCUAAUACCGCAUACGACCUACGGGUGAAAGCGGCGGACCGCAAGGCGUCGCGCGAUUGGAUGAGCCGAUGUCCGAUUAGCUAGUUGGCGGGUAAGAGCCACCAAGGCGACGAUCGGUAGCUGGUCUGAGAGGAUGAUCAGCCACACUGGAACUGAGACACGGUCCAGACUCCUACGGGAGGCAGCAGUGGGGAAUAUUGGACAAUGGGCGCAAGCCUGAUCCAGCCAUGCCGCGUGUGUGAAGAAGGCC
rnacentral:rRNA from 1 species